AUUGAACGCUGGCGGCAGGCCUAACACAUGCAAGUCGAACGAGUGGCGGACGUGUGAGUCAUGUCUGGGAAACUGCCUGAUGGUGGGGGAUAACUACUGGAAACGGUAGCUAAUACCGCAUACCAUCGGAUGUGCCCAGAUGGGAUUCGCUAGUUGGUGGGGUAACGGCUCACCAAGGCGACGAUCCCUAGCUGGUCUGAGAGGAUGACCAGCCACACUGUAACUGGGACACGGUCCAGAGUCCUACGGGAGGCAGCAGUGGGGAAUAUUGCACAAUGGGCGCAAGCCUGAUGCAGCCAUGCCGCGUGUAUGAAGAGGGCUUUCGGGUUGUAAAGUACUUUCAGCGGGGAGGCGUUACCUGCAGAAGAAGCACCGGCUAACUCCGUGCCAGCAGCCGCGGUAAUAC
rnacentral:rRNA from 1 species